UCCCCAGUGGCGCAAUGGUUGCGCGGGUACUUAUAAUGCCGAGGUUGUGAGUUCAUCCUCACCUGGGAAA
rnacentral:tRNA from 1 species